rnacentral:rRNA from 1 species
CUACGGGAGGCAGCAGUAGGGAAUCUUCCACAAUGGACGCAAGUCUGAUGGAGCAACGCCGCGUGAGUGAAGAAGGUUUUCGGAUCGUAAAGCUCUGUUACUGGUGAAGAAGGACAUGUAUAGUAACUGAUAUGUGUUUGACGGUAAUCAGCCAGAAAGUCACGGCUAACUACGUGCCAGCAGCCGC